UACGUAGGGUGCGAGCGUUAAUCGGAAUUACUGGGCGUAAAGCGUGCGCAGGCGGUGAUGUAAGACAGAUGUGAAAUCCCCGGGCUCAACCUGGGACCUGCAUUUGUGACUGCAUCGCUAGAGUACGGCAGAGGGGGAUGGAAUUCCGCGUGUAGCAGUGAAAUGCGUAGAUAUGCGGAGGAACACCGAUGGCGAAGGCAAUCCCCCUGGGCCUGUACUGACGCUCAUGCACGAAAGCGUGGGGAGCAAACAG
rnacentral:rRNA from 1 species